CAAUUAGCCACUCAGCACAUGCACUGUCUAAUUGUUUUUCAAAUUCUUUUUAAAGGGACUGAAUAAUUCCUGCGUGAGCCAUGGCUAAUGUAGAAUAUCUUUUUUUUUUUUAAUAUAUAGGGAAUCUUGGGAGUGGGGAAUCAGCUUUAGCAAAAUCUUAUAACCCUCUUUCCAUUGAACAGGUUGAAACAGACGACAAAGACAUUCAAUAUCAAAAAGCCAGAGAUUUGGGAAAUCUUCUACCUCCAGCUAUUUUCUCUACCUUGUUUUUUUUCCCUCCUCCUUAUUUUCAAGGGGAUAGUAUUUGGAGGAAAUUGUACCUCUUCUCUUUGUUUCCUUCAGCUAUGUUUUAAUAGAAAGGAUGCUUGUGCUGACAAGUUUGUGAACCCCGCUGUGGCCGGAUUGUGUAAACCUUGCACACCUCCACAUUUCUCGCAAAGUCAAUGGGGAGUCUCCAUUGUGCGAGGAUUGUGGCAUGAGGCCCCUGGUUUGCUUUAAUGCAAUGGUGGAGUAACUAGCGCCUGCAAUGACUGCUUGGUUGAAGAUACUCGCUAACGAGAUUUGGGUAUGGCACAAAUAUAGCAGUGGUUUAUUUAGGCAACUGACUUGUCAGAGGCGGGCACAGCAUGGUAGUCCUUCCUGAAGAUACGUGUAUGGAGGAGGACACAUAAACGACAUUACUCCAUCUUCCCAGACUCAAUGGAAUUAGAUGGAAAAGCCUGGAUGGAUGUCUUGUCCACCUCCCACCCCUGCGGUAUGGUGCUGUUAGGAUUCUGAUCACUUUGCAAGCAGAAAUAAGAGGAAUGCAAGCCUUAGAGUCUGCGUAUGUGGAACUGUAUAUUAUUAUUUGUAUUGUGGUAGCUAUGUUGUGUUAGUACUAUGCAAACAUCAACAAAAGAGCAUUCCUACCCUGAAGAGUUUACAAUCUAAUUAUAAGACAGGAGGCAAGAGGUGGAUGCAAGUAGCAGAUGUGGAAAGUACAAGGUAACAAUCUGACAACUAUGAUCAGCGGGAUAGGCACUGGUCACAGCACAUCUACUAACAUCAUAACUCUCCUUCUCCUUUAUCUGUCAAAUGUUUUGGCAAAUCUAGAUGGAAGAGGGGAGGGAACAAAUGAGAAGGCUUGGAAACAGAGUGAUUAAUUAUUAAGGUGUCCAGAUCUCUUUACUAGUGUCUCCCUUAAGCCACAUUUAUGUGACUAG